rnacentral:rRNA from 1 species
CCUACGGGAGGCAGCAGUAGGGAAUUUUCCGCAAUGGGCGAAAGCCUGACGGAGCAAUACCGCGUGAGGGAUGACUGCCUGUGGGUUGUAAACCUCUUUUCUCAAGGAAGAAGUCCUGACGGUACUUGAGGAAUAAGCAUCGGCUAACUCUGUGCCAGCAGCCGCGGUAAUACAGAGGAUGCAAGCGUUAUUCGGAAUCACUGGGCAUAAAGCGUCUGUAGGUGGUUUGGUAAGUCUGCUGUUAAAGACUGGGGCUCAACCCCAGAAAAGCAGUGGAAACUGCCAAACUCGAGUGUGGUAGAGGUAGAGGGAAUUCCUAGUGUAGCGGUGAAAUGCGUAGAUAUUAGGAAGAACACCAAUGGCGAAAGCACUCUACUGGACCAUAACUGACACUGAGAGACGACAGCUAGGGGAGCAAAUGGGAUUAGAUACCCCAGUAGUCCUAGCCGUAAACGAUGGAUACUAGAUGUUGCACGUAUUAACCCGUGCAGUAUCGUAGCUAAGGCGUUAAGUAUCCCGCCUGGGAAGUACGCUCGCAAGAGUGAAACUCAAAGGAAUUGACGG